rnacentral:rRNA from 1 species
GACGAACGCUGGCGGCGUGCUUAACACAUGCAAGUCGAACGGAAAGGCCUGCUUUCCCUUGUGGAUUGCGGGUGCUCGAGUGGCGAACGGGUGAGUAACACGUGUGUGAUCUGCCCCCAACUUGGGUAUAAGCCUGGGAAACUGGGUCUAAUUCACGAUAGGACUGCAGGGUGGUGCCUGUGGUGGAAAACGAUCUUCUCGUGGUUGGGGAUGCGCUCGCUGCCUAUCAACUUGGUGGUUGGGUAAUGGCCUACCACGCCGGCGACGGGUAGCCGGCCUGGGAGGGUGGACGGCGACAUUAGGACUGAGAUACGGCCCAGACUGCUACGGGAGGCAGCCGUGGGGAAGAUUGCACAAUGGGCGGAAGCCUGAUGCAGCGACGCCGCGUGGGGGAUGACGGCCUUCGGGUUGUAAACUCCUUUCGACCGCGAGGAAGCCACCUGGUUGGAAGGGUGGUGACGGUAGUGGUAGAAGAAGCACCGGCUAACUACGUG